rnacentral:rRNA from 1 species
GACGAACGCUGGCGGCGUGCCUAAUACAUGCAAGUCGAGCGGACUUUCAAGAAGCUUGCUUUUUGAAAGUUAGCGGCGGACGGGUGAGUAACACGUGGGCAACCUGCCUGCAAGACGGGGAUAACUCCGGGAAACCGGGGCUAAUACCGGAUAAUAUCUUCCUUCGCAUGAAGGAAGGUUGAAAGGCGGCGCAAGCUGCCGCUUGCAGAUGGGCCCGCGGCGCAUUAGCUAGUUGGUGAGGUAACGGCUCACCAAGGCGACGAUGCGUAGCCGACCUGAGAGGGUGAUCGGCCACACUGGGACUGAGACACGGCCCAGACUCCUACGGGAGGCAGCAGUAGGGAAUCUUCCGCAAUGGACGAAAGUCUGACGGAGCAACGCCGCGUGAGCGAAGAAGGUCUUCGGAUCGUAAAGCUCUGUUGUCAGGGAAGAACAAGUACCGUUCAAACAGGGCGGUACCUUGACGGUACCUGACCAGAAAGCCACGGCUAACUACGUGCCAGCAGCCGCGGUAAUACGUAGGUGGCAAGCGUUGUCCGGAAUUAUUGGGCGUAAAGCGCGCGCAGGCGGUCUCUUAAGUCUGAUGUGAAAGCCCACGGCUCAACCGUGGAGGGUCAUUGGAAACUGGGAGACUUGAGUGCAGAAGAGGAGAGCGGAAUUCCACGUGUAGCGGUGAAAUGCGUAGAGAUGUGGAGGAACACCAGUGGCGAAGGCGGCUCUCUGGUCUGUAACUGACGCUGAGGCGCGAAAGCGUGGGGAGCGAACAGGAUUAGAUACCCUGGUAGUCCACGCCGUAAACGAUGAGUGCUAAGUGUUAGAGGGCUUCCACCCUUUAGUGCUGCAGCUAACGCAUUAAGCACUCCGCCUGGGGAGUACGGCCGCAAGGCUGAAACUCAAAGGAAUUGACGGGGGCCCGCACAAGCGGUGAGCAUGUGGUUU